GAUACCCUACGGGGGGCAGCAGUGGGGAAUAUCGCACAAUGGGGGAAACCCUGAUGCAGCAACGCCGCGUGAGUGAUGACGGCCUUCGGGUUGUAAAGCUCUGUCUUCAGGGACGAUAAUGACGGUACCUGAGGAGGAAGCCACGGCUAACUACGUGCCAGCAGCCGCGGUAAUACGUAGGUGGCGAGCGUUGUCCGGAUUUACUGGGCGUAAAGGGAGCGUAGGCGGACUUUUAAGUGAGAUGUGAAAUACUCGGGCUCAACUUGAGUGCUGCAUUUCAAACUGGCAGUCUAGUGUGCAGGAGG
rnacentral:rRNA from 1 species